rnacentral:rRNA from 1 species
UACGAAGGGGCUAGCGUUGUUCGGAUUUACUGGGCGUAAAGCGCACGUAGGCGGUUUGUUAAGUCAGAGGUGAAAUCCCGGAGCUCAACUCCGGAACUGCCUUUGAUACUGGCAAGCUAGAGUCCGGAAGAGGUAAGUGGAACUCCUAGUGUAGAGGUGGAAUUCGUAGAUAUUAGGAAGAACACCAGUGGCGAAGGCGGCUUACUGGUCCGGAACUGACGCUGAGGUGCGAAAGCGUGGGGAGCAAACAGG